rnacentral:rRNA from 1 species
UUUAUUGUACCUUGGUGCUUCGGCGGGCCCGCCUUUGUGGCCGCCGGGGGGCUCUGCCCCCGGGCCCGCGCCCGCCGAAGACACCUAGAACUCUGUCUGAAGAUUGCAGUCUGAGUGAAAAUAUAAAUUAUUUAAAACUUUCAACAACGGAUCUCUUGGUUCCGGCAUCGAUGAAGAACGCAGCGAAAUGCGAUACGUAAUGUGAAUUGCAGAAUUCAGUGAAUCAUCGAGUCUUUGAACGCACAUUGCGCCCUCUGGUAUUCCGGAGGGCAUGCCUGUCCGAGCGUCAUUGCUGCCCUCAAGCACGGCUUGUGUGUUGGGCCCCGUCCUCCGCUCCCGGGGGACGGGCCCGAAAGGCAGCGGCGGCACCGCGUCCGGUCCUCGAGCGUAUGGGGCUUUGUCACCCGCUCUGUAGGCCCGGCCGGCGCUUGCCGAUCAACCAAACUUUUAUCCAGGUUGACCUCGGAUCAGGUAGGGAUACCCGCUGAACUUAAGCAUAUCAAUAAGCGGAGGAAU